AUAUCUUUCUUAGCCUUUUGGUUAAGAUAAAGUGUAAUAUUUGUUUUUAUGAAUUUAAUAUCUGAUAUAUAGACUGUAUGUUCACUUUGAUAUUAAUUUUAUUUUUUAUGAGUAACAAAUAUGAUUGUGUGUUGUCGCAACACACAAGCAUUGUACUAGUGAUUAUCUUCAUAUCACACAUUUUUGCCACACUAGUGCACA
rfam:Zea mays cultivar B73 chromosome 7, whole genome shotgun sequence.